CUUGGCUCAAACGAGGAGAAAUCCACGGAAUCGGGGUGGUCAGCAACGCCAGAAGCCGCAGGGAGGAGUAGCCGGCGAUCUCCGUUCGCCUUCUCCUUUCCUUCCGCUGAACUAGAAAUGGAUGUUGCGUACAUCUGUGGAGGAGCGGGUUGGGCGCAAUGCGGAUCGGCCAUUGUCUUCUCUCCAGAUCUCAUAUUGGCUCCAUUACAACCGCGACAGAAGAACUGCAAAAUUCUUUGCAUCUUGGAUGAACCCUGCGCUCGUUAGUCGCCUAUUUUCCCCCUUUUUGCCGAUGGUGGUUGUUCUUAGCACCACAAUCACUACGUUUGAAGAUAUCUUGUGCUUGUCUGCAACUUUGCUUCUUCCAUAUUUCGUUGUGCAUUUCAGAUGUUGCUUCAUUCUUUUUAUAAAAAUCUAAUGACCCAAAGCGAUCGAGUGUCGUUUCAUAUUGC